AUUGAACGCUGGCGGCAGGCCUAACACAUGCAAGUCGAACGGUAACAGGAAGAAGCUUGCUUCUUUGCUGACGAGUGGCGGACGGGUGAGUAAUGUCUGGGAAACUGCCUGAUGGAGGGGGAUAACUACUGGAAACGGUAGCUAAUACCGCAUAACGUCGCAAGACCAAAGAGGGGGACCCUCGGGCCUCUUGCCAUCGGAUGUGCCCAGAUGGGAUUAGCUUGUUGGUGGGGUAACGGCUCACCAAGGCGACGAUCCCUAGCUGGUCUGAGAGGAUGACCAGCCACACUGGAACUGAGACACGGUCCAGACUCCUACGGGAGGCAGCAGUGGGGAAUAUUGCACAAUGGGCGCAAGCCUGAUGCAGCCAUGCCGCGUGUAUGAAGAAGGCCUUCGGGU
rnacentral:rRNA from 1 species